ACGGAGCAGCCCUCUUCUUUAUUUGCCUAUACCUACACAUCGGCCGAGGAAUCUAUUACGGCUCCUACUCCUACAUAGAAACCUGAAACAUCGGCAUCAUCCUAUUAUUUCUAACAAUAGCCACAGCUUUCAUAGGCUACGUACUCCCUUGAGGCCAAAUAUCUUUCUGGGGAGCAACCGUCAUUACUAACCUCCUAUCAGCCAUCCCAUACAUUGGAACAGACCUUGUAGAAUGAAUCUGAGGGGGUUUCUCAGUAGAUAAAGCUACCCUCAACCGAUUCUUCGCAUUCCACUUCAUCCUACCAUUCAUCAUCGCCGCCAUAGCCAUAGUACACCUUCUCUUCCUUCAUGAAACCGGAUCCAACAACCCCCUGGGAAUCCCAUCAGACUGUGAUAAAAUCCCAUUCCACCCAUACUACACAACCAAAGACUUCCUAGGAAUCGUACUUCUCCUAGCCUUCUUCCUCACUCUAGUUUUAUUUUUUCCAGAUCUAUUAGGAGACCCAGACAAUUAUUCACCCGCAAAUCCCUUAAAUACUCCACCACAUAUUAAACCAGAAUGAUAUUUCCUUUUUGCAUACGCCAUUCUACGCUCAAUCCCUAAUAAACUAGGAGGAGUCAUCGCAUUAGUUCUCUCAAUCCUCAUUCUAGCCCUACUACCACAUAUUCAAACAGCCAGCCAACGAAGCCUGAUAUUCCGACCCAUCAGCCAAUUCCUAUUCUGAUUAUUAGUGUCCGAUGUCCUAAUCCUAACAUGAAUUGGAGGCCAACCAGUUGAACGACCAUUUAUCAUCAUCGGACAAAUCGCAUCCCUUUCAUACUUCACAAUUAUCCUAGCCCUCAUGCCAAUCGCAGGAAUCAUCGAAAACAAAAUAUUAAAAUGAAGAAGCUUUGAUAGUAUAAUAAUUACUCAGGUCUUGUAAACCUGAAAUGAGGAGCCCCUCCUCUCAAAGCAUCAAGGAGAAGAUUUUACAUCCUACCUCCAACUCCCAAAGCUGGAAUUCUACUUCAACUACUCCUUGUAUGUAAUUCGUGCAUUAUUUUAUUACCACAUUAAUAUCGUACAGUACAUUAAACUAACUAUCGUACAUAAUACAUUAAAUCUUAAUCUCACAAUUCAACCACAACAACAUGAAUAUCGUCACAGUAACUUAAAUUAAUGUUCGAAAGACUAGAUUUUCCAUGAUACGUGCAUAAACCAUCCUAUUAUGUCUAUCCUCGUCCAAAUGACUAUCCCCUUCCAUUGGUGGUCUCUUAAUCUACCAUCCUCCGUGAAACCAUCAACCCGCCCACUAGGACCUCUCUUCUCACUCCGGGCCCAUGACACUUGGGGGUAGCUAAUAUGAAACUAUACCUGACAUCUGGUUCUUACCUCAGGGCCAUAAGCUGUAAAACCGCCCACACGUUCCUCUUAAAUAAGACAUCUCGAUGGAUUAAUGUCUAAUCAGCCCAUGAUCAACAUAACUGUUCUGUCAUGCCUUUGGUAUUUUUUUAUUUUCGGGAUGCGAGGCUCAGCUGAGCCGUCAAAGGCUUGAUAUAGUCAAUUACAGUCAAGCUGGACUUCCUGUCUAAUAUUCAAGACCCCCAAAAGAUUAAGCUCUCGAGUAUUUUAUGAAUGCUUAUAAGACAUAAAAAAGAAUUAAUACUAACUUCCCACUCAACCCAUCACUUUACCUAGAAGUGAGCCAAAAACAGGAUUUUAGUAGACCUAUUAGGAGCAAUUAUUCUAAAUUAACACUUUAGUCCCUAUCACCUUAUCACACCUUUACACAACCAGCUCUUCAAAAUUAACUAACCAAAAACUUUGUCACAACAUACAUUCCCUAAAUCUACUAGUUUACGUAGCUUAAAUUAUAAAGCAAGGCACUGAAAAUGCCUAGAUGAAUCAUAAAGAUUCCAUAAGCAUAAAGGUUUGGUCCUAGCCUUAAUAUUAACUGUCAGCAAAAUUACACAUGCAAAUAUCCGUAAACCAGUGAGUUCAGCCCUAUGUUUUCUACAGACCACAAGGAGCAAGUAUAAAGCACGCGUACCCAAACACGCAGCUAAAAACACUAAGUCUAACCACACCCCCACGGGAUACAGCAGUGAUAAAAUUUAAGCAAUGAACGAAAGUUUGACUAAGUUAUGCUGACUCCAUUAGGGUCGGUAAAUUUCGUGCCAGCCACCGCGGUCAUACGAAAGACCCAAGUUAAUAUUCCAACGGCGUAAAGAGUGCUAAAAUCCUAAACAAAUAAACAAAUAGAGUUAAGACUUGACUCCGCUGUAAAAAGCCAAAGUCAAAGCAAAAAUAAACAACGAAGGUGACUCUAAUUUUUGCAGCACUAAAGCUAUAGCCUAAACUGGGAUUAGAUACCCCACUAUAUCUAGCCAUAAACAUAAAUAGUUCAUAACACUACUAUUCGCCAGAGAACUACAAGCCACCGCUUAAAACUCAAAGGACUUGGCGGUGCUUUAUAUCCAUCUAGAGGAGCCUGUUCCAUAAUCGAUGAUCCCCGAUCUACCUUACCACUCCUUGCUAAUUCAGCCUAUAUACCGCCAUCUUCAGCUGACCCUAAAAAGGAAACAAAGUAAGCUAAAAAAGUAAAUACUAAAGAAGUUAGGUCAAGGUGUAGCCCAUGGAGUGGAGCGAAAUGGGCUACAUUUUCUAAUCCUAGAACAUUACGAAACUCUAUGUGAAACCCAUAGAAUAAAGGAGGAUUUAGUAGUAAAUUAAAACUAGAGUGUUUAAUUGAAUCGAGCAAUGAAGCACGCACACACCGCCCGUCACCCUCCUCAAAACCUUAACAAUUAAAAGUCCAUAACGCCUAAUUAUAAAAGACUGAGAGGAGACAAGUCGUAACAAGGUAAGUGUACUGGAAAGUGCACUUGGAAGAAUCAAAAUAUAGCUUAAACAAAGCAUCUGACUUACACUCAGAAGAUUUCAAUCCUAAUGAAUAUUUUGAACUAUAUCUAGCCUAACAAACUACCAAAUUAACUAUAACAUACACAUAAAUCAAACCAUUUACCAAAAAUUAGUAUAGGUGAUAGAAAAUUUAACUUUAGCGCUAUAGAUAAAGUACCGUAAGGGAAUGAUGAAAGAAAAACCUAAGUAAACAAAAGCAAAGAUUAAACCUUCUACCUUUUGCAUAAUGAACUAACUAGAAAAACUCUGACAAAGAGAACUUUAGCCAGAAACCCCGAAAUCAAGCGAGCUACCCUAGAACAGCCUUUUACAGGGCCAACUCAUCUAUGUAGCAAAAUAGUGAGAAGAUUUUAAGGUAGAGGUGAAAAGCCUACCGAGCCUGAUGAUAGCUGGUUCCUCAGAUUAAGUAUUUG